UUGUCACUAGUUGCCAGCGCGUCAUGGCGGGGACUCUAGUGAGACUGCCGGUGUUAAACCGGAGGAAGGUGGGGAUGACGUCAGGUCCUCAUGGCCUUUAUGACUAGGGCUGCACACGUCCUACAAUGCCACGUACAAAGGGAAGCAAACUCGCGAGAGUAAGCAAAUCUCAAAAAACGUGGCCCAGUUCGGAUUGCAGGCUGCAACUCGCCUGCAUGAAGCCGGAAUCGCUAGUAAUCGCGGGUCAGCAUACCGCGGUGAAUGUGUUCCUGAGCCUU
rnacentral:rRNA from 1 species